rnacentral:rRNA from 1 species
GUGGGGAAUAUUGGGCAAUGGGCGGAAGCCUGACCCAGCAACGCCGCGUGAAGGAAGAAGGCUUUCGGGUUGUAAACUUCUUUUCUAAGGGACGAACAGAUGACGGUACCUUAGGAAUAAGCCACGGCUAACUACGUGCCAGCAGCCGCGGUAAUACGUAGGUGGCAAGCGUUAUCCGGAUUUACUGGGUGUAAAGGGCGUGUAGGCGGGGAAGCAAGUCAGAUGUGAAAACCGUGGGCUCAACUCAUGGCCUGCAUUUGAAACUGUUUUUCUUGAGUACUGGAGAGGCAGACGGAAUUCCUAGUGUAGCGGUGAAAUGCGUAGAUAUUAGGAGGAACACCAGUGGCGAAGGCGGCUUGCUGGACGACAACUGACGCUGAGGCGCGAAAGCGUGGGGAGCAAACAGG